rnacentral:rRNA from 1 species
GAUGAACGCUAGCGGCAGGCUUAAUACAUGCAAGUCGAGGGGCAGCAUGAUUGUAGCAAUACAAUUGAUGGCGACCGGCAAACGGGUGCGGAACACGUACACAACCUCCCAAUAAGUGGGGAAUAGCCCAGAGAAAUUUGGAUUAAUACCCCGUAACAUAACGAUGUGGCAUCACAUUGUUAUUAUAGAUUUUUCGCUUAUUGAUGGGUGUGCGGCUGAUUAGAUAGUUGGCGGGGUAACGGCCCACCAAGUCUACGAUCAGUAGCUGAUGUGAGAGCAUGCGCAGCCACACGGGAACUGAGACACGGGCCCGACUCCUACGGGAGGCAGCAGUAAGGAAUAUUGGACAAUGGACGCAAGUCUGAUCCAGCCAUGCCGCGUGAAGGAUUAAGGUCCUCUGGAUUGUAAACUUCUUUUAUAAGGGACGAAAAAAGGCUUUUCUAAGUCGUCUGACGGUACCUUAUGAAUAAGCACCGGCUAACUCCGUGCCAGCCGCCGCCGUAAUAC